CCUGCGAGAGCUCAGAGAGAUUGCAUGAGUGGAAAGCUGGCAAAUUCCUUGUUUCCAUGUUUUUUGUUUUGAUAACGAAAGCAGCAGGACAAGGUGAAAGCCAGCAUUUGAGGGUGUCUGAGCUCAUUUUUAGGCUGCAGUUCUUCAUGACAUUGAAUUCCAGUUAUUUUAGGGUCAAGGAUGUCACCCUCUAGUGUUUUCUUCCUCCUAAUAUUAGUUUCCAUGGUGGACACCAAAACCUCAUCUGAAAAAGGGGUCAUUCCCAUUAACCCCAGUUUCACCAUGAAAACCCAAGAGAUGACACAUCCAUUUUCAGAUAACCAAGACCAUGGGAACCCCAAAUUUGGAUUCCCUGCUCUAUUCCUAUGGGACACGCCAGGGGGAUGAAACCAACCCCAAACAUGACGAUCGGACAUCCGAGAUCACCCCCUCUGUUCCCUUCACCUUCUAAGGGAAAACAUACCAAACUGUGUUUGUAGGUCACCCCAAAUUCCAUAGUUUUCAGAAAUUCCUCCAUUUUUCCAAAUUUUUGCUCCAUUUCUACUUAAUUUUUCACUCAUGUAUGUGGGUGUCUGUGUGUAUGUGUGUGUAUCCCCCCAGAAUCAACCCUUCUUAAAUUCAUAGUGGGUUUUAUCCUUGGGCAUUGAAACAUCUUCAGAUGGGUGGGGAACUUGAGGGGCUGGUGGUAUUGGGAGGGUUGAAG
rnacentral:lncRNA from 1 species